rnacentral:rRNA from 1 species
AGUUCGGAUUGUAGGCUGAAACUCGCCUACAUGAAGCUGGAGUUACUAGUAAUCGCAGAUCAGAAUGCUGUGGUGAAUGCGUUCCCGGGUCUUGUACACACCGCCCGUCACACCACGGAAGUUGGGGGCGCCCGAAGCCACUUAGCUAACCCUUUUGGGAAGCGAGUGUCGAAGGUGAAAUCAAUAACUGGGGUGAAGUCGUAACAAGGUAGC